rnacentral:rRNA from 1 species
UACGGGGGGGGCAAGCGUUGUUCGGAAUUACUGGGCGUAAAGGGUGCGUAGGUGGUUGGGUAAGUCUGAUGUGAAAUCUCCGGGCUCAACCCGGAAAUGGCAUUGGAUACUAUUUGACUAGAGGGUUGGAGGGGGGACUGGAAUACUUGGUGGUAGCAGUGAAAUGCGUAGAUAUCAAGUGGAACACCAGUGGCGAAGGCGAGUCCCUGGACAAGCUCCUGACACUGGAGG